GCUUCAUUUCAAACUGCUGUGGUCUGUAGAAAAUACAUUUGUAUUAGGCAGUUGUCGAAAACUGACUGUACCAACACUCAGCUCUGGAGUUACACCCUUCUGUGCAUGUCACUGGUGAAACUGCAUAUUGCAACUUUUCUGUUGUACAAUCACUCAACUCCAUGGACAAGUGGAAUAGAGAAUGAUCUUCAUACAAGAUAACUGAUAAAAUCUUGGCUCAAGAUAUGCCUUAUGGCAAAUGUAGCUGAAUUUUCACAUGCUCCUUUUAAGAAAGAUUUCCACUUUGCCAUGAAGCUGUAUAACUGGUCAUGCAACAGGUAAAGAUGCACUAUGCACCGUUUCUCCAGUCAUAGCCACAGCAGCCUACAACUCCUUUAGCAUUGUCUGAGUGUCUUGGUGGCUUUUUCCUCUUGCUCCUUUGUAUGCUCUGUUUUUCAGAACUGUCUACUCCAGACAGAUUUACCAGAGCAGGAUACUGUUUGUUUAAUGUUUUAAGUAAAUUAAGUCCCAUACAUACUGAGGUGCUUGGUAAUGUUCAUGUUUCCAUCCCCUGACUUGUAUAAACAAAACUGGCUAGAAAAGUGAUUGGUGUUUAAAGUAAAUUGUUAAUCUGCCCAUGCAGCCAGUGGCGCUCCACUUACGGUCCCUGAAAAUGGAGGGACUAUGACAAUAAUUUCUGAAUGGUUAAUGCAAUGCUUUUGUAAAAUCCCUUGAAUUUAAGCUUAAUUCAAGGAACAUGCACAUGUUGAUUCUUACAUUUCAACUCCAUUGUCGUGUCUAGAGAGACAAUUCCAUUCAAAACCUACAGACAUGUAUGACAAAGUCCGGCCUCCUUUUUGUAAUGAACACAUCGCAAUGACGAACAGUUUUGACAGAAGAGGUAGCGAUCUGUAUUGUUUUAUUUAAUUUGUUUUCUCUUUCAUCCAAUUUGGAUAUCAGUUGGUAUGUACAAUAAGAGAAAGUGGCUAAGUCAUUUUUAGGGCAAAGCUGACUGAUAAAUAGCAAAUGCUUUGAAAAGUUGGGGGGAAAAAAGAUAAAAAAAAAAAAAAAAAUCAAAGUACUGGGGUACUCUGCAAUUUCACUUCAUUUUUCAGGGAAAUCAGUCAGUUGUUUCUUCCUAUUUAAAAGCCUUUUUUUUUUGCAACAUGGAAAUGGCAGCUACCAACAGCUGACUGUGCGGUGGUAUCGUGCACUAAUUGAGGUGAGCUUCAUAUCAGCCUGUCUGUCCAGUCCAGUCCAGUAUCUGCCACAGUUGUGCAUGGUCACAUCAGUCAGGAGAUGAUGUAAAAGCUAAUAAAGUAUUUUGUUUUUAACGGCACAGUACAUAAAUUUUCAGCUGAAGUCUGUUGGUGCACUGCCCUGAUUUGCAAAGUCUGGCUAUCAUGAAUGAUACGACUGCACAGAGACUAGAUGAGAAAUUAUUUUUCCCAUGUAGCUUCUAAAUCAGUUUAGCCUAUUUUUGAAAUUAAUUUAAAUGUCUUUGGAUUGUGUACAAAGUUCCCAUUAUGAAAUGCAUCUUGUAUUACACUGAUUUAUUGUUAUAUCUUGUUUGAUGUAACAGACUUAACAGUAUUUUAUAGUGAAAUUUUUAAAAGCAGUUCUUCAAAUGCUGUUGUAAUGAUACUGAUGAAUAUGCAGCUGGUGUUGGAAAGGAUUGUACUUUCUGAUCAAAUCUUUUGGAAAUCAUUAAACACGGGCUUUAUGCAGCCUUCAGUUUUUGAAAGCAA